rnacentral:rRNA from 1 species
CAGCAGCCGCGGUAAUACGAAGGGUGCAAGCGUUACUCGGAAUUACUGGGCGUAAAGCGUGCGUAGGUGGUGGUUUAAGUCCGUUGUGAAAGCCCUGGGCUCAACCUGGGAAUUGCAGUGGAUACUGGGUCACUAGAGUGUGGUAGAGGAUAGUGGAAUUUCCGGUGUAGCAGUGAAAUGCGUAGAGAUCGGAAGGAACAUCUGUGGCGAAGGCGACUAUCUGGGCCAACACUGACACUGAGGCACGAAAGCGUGGGGAGCAAACAGGAUUAGAGACCCCUGUAGUCCCUGUCUCUUAUAC